AAUAAUCUCAUUUUUCAUUUUUCUGUGGCUAACGUUUGACCAUUCGCCUUAUUUGAAAAAUUUGUGCAAAAAAUUAAAAAAAUUAGUCACGUAUAAAAUACUAUUCAUAUUUUAUCAUCUAGUAAUAAUAAAAAUAUUAAUCGCAAAAAAAUUCAAAUAAAACGAAUAGUCAAACGUUGGACACAGAAAAAC
rfam:Oryza brachyantha chromosome 2, whole genome shotgun sequence.